rnacentral:rRNA from 1 species
GAUGAACGCUGGCGGCGUGCCUAAUACAUGCAAGUCGAGCGAACAGACGAGGAGCUUGCUCCUCUGACGUUAGCGGCGGACGGGUGAGUAACACGUGGAUAACCUACCUAUAAGACUGGGAUAACUUCGGGAAACCGGAGCUAAUACCGGAUAAUAUAUUGAACCGCAUGGUUCAAUAGUGAAAGACGGUUUUGCUGUCACUUAUAGAUGGAUCCUCGCCGUAUUAGCUAGUUGGUAAGGUAACGGCUUACCAAGGCAACGAUGCGUAGCCGACCUGAGAGGGGAGACGGCACCAUGGGGACUGAGAUACGGCCAAGAGUGCGAUGGGCGGCAGCGGUGGGGAAUAUUGAAAGAUGGGCGGAAGACUGAUGAAGCAACGCCGGGAGCGGGAUGCCGGCCUUCGGUUUGAAAACCGAUGUCGCCUGUGACGAACCGUGAGUGACGGGAAUGGAUAAAGAAGCACCGGCUAACUACGUG